CGCACAUUAGAAUUUGCACAAAUCACCAGCUAACCAUGAUCAUGCAAGCUCAGUUGUGUCUGACGUAGUCAAGAUUUAACAGCAGAAAAUAGACGCGCACAGUGUCGGUGAGAGAAGAAAGACACAAAAGGGAAAAUAGCGGAUGAUUUUGACCUCGGUGGAGUUUUUCGUUGUUUUUGUCGCCGUUUUGGCAAACGGACAGCAAAAUUAACUGGGUUCGCGGUGAGUGGUCGUUUGGGUUGACUGGACAGACGGGACGUACAAUAGAGCGUCCCUCACACCGUGUUUAAUUGCGGAUUAGGAGGAUCAAACGGGAACCGGGAGCACAACAACAACGUUCUUUAUUAGGAGGAGAGACCGCACAAGAUAAGGAGACCAUAUACUGUAGACUGUAGCGAAGAGAGGGAGAAUACAGAAAGCAUCGCUCGAAUGGUUGUGCCGUGGAUCCCGCGACGAUGCGACGACACUGCUGGAUGAUAGUGCUAGCGGGGAUGAUGUCGUACUUCAACCCAGAGAGAGCCCUUGGAGCCCCGCAGAGAGAAGAUGGUUCGCUUCUCACAAUCGACCAAGUUGAGUGUCUCAGUCCAGGGCAGCCUCCCUCUCUCCUCCGCCCUACGUCGUCAUUCUCAUCUCUUGCUCGGGGCUCGUUUCUUUUGUUCUUCUUCUGCUCACCUGCCUGUGCUGCAAGAGAGGAGGAGUGGGAUUCAAUGUAAG